rnacentral:rRNA from 1 species
UGAGGAAUAUUGCACAAUGGGCGCAAGCCUGAUGCAGCGACGCCGCGUGUGGGAUGAAGGGGCUACGCCUCGUAAACCACUGUAGCCCGGGACGAAAAACGCCUUAGAGGCGCUAGACGGUACCGGGAAAGUGAGGGUCGGCUAACUACGUGCCAGCAGCCGCGGUAAUACGUAGGACCCAAGCGUUGUCCGGAUUUACUGGGUGUAAAGGGUGCGCAGGCGGAUGGGUAAGUCAGGGGUGAAAGUCUGCAGCUUAACUGUAGAAUUGCCUUUGAUACUGCUCAUCUUGAGUGUGGGAGAGGUUGAUGGAAUUCCAGGUGUAGCAGUGAAAUGCGUAGAUAUCUGGAAGAACACCAGUGGCGAAGGCGGUCAACUGGCCCAUAACUGACGCUCAUGCACGAAAGCGUGGGGAGCAAACA